AACGAACGCUGGCGGCAGGCCUAACACAUGCAAGUCGAGCGAAGUCUUCGGACUUAGCGGCGGACGGGUGAGUAACGCGUGGGAACGUGCCCUGGGGUGCGGAACAACCGCUGGAAACGGCGGCUAAUACCGCAUGAUGUCCUUCGGGACCAAAGAUUUAUCGCCCUGGGAUCGGCCCGCGUCGGAUUAGGUAGUUGGUGGGGUAAUGGCCUACCAAGCCGAUGAUCCGUAGCUGGUUUGAGAGGAUGAUCAGCCACACUGGGACUAAGACACGGCCCAGACUCCUACGGGAGGCAGCAGUGGGGAAUCUUGGACAAUGGGGGCAACCCUGAUCCAGCCAUGCCGCGUGAGCGAUGAAGGCCUUAGGGUUGUAAAGCUCUUUCACCGGUGAAGAUAAUGACGGUAGCCGGAGAAGAAGCCCCGGCUAACUCCGUGCCAGCCGCCGCCGUAAAAC
rnacentral:rRNA from 1 species